rnacentral:rRNA from 1 species
AGUGAACGCUGGCGGUAGGCCUAACACAUGCAAGUCGAACGGCCGCACAGUACGAGCUUGCUCUUAUGGGUGGCGAGUGGCGGACGGGUGAGGAAUACAUCGGAAUCUACUCUUUCGUGGGGGAUAACGAAGGGAAACUUACGCUAAUACCGCAUACGUCCUACGGUUGAAAGCAGGGGAUCUUCGGACCUUUCGCGAUUGAAUGAGCCGAUGUCGGAUUAGCUAGUUGGCGGGGUAAAGGCCCACCAAGGCGACGAUCCGUAGCUGGUCUGAGAGGAUGAUCGGCCACACUGGAACUGAGACACGGUCCAGACUCCUACGGGAGGCAGCAGUGGGGAAUAUUGGACAAUGGGCGCAAGCCUGAUCCAGCCAUACCGCGUGGGUGAAGAAGGCCUUCGGGUUGUAAAGCCCUUUUGUUGGGAAAGAAAAGCAGCAGGUUAAUACCCCGCUGUUCUGACGGUACCCAAAGAAUAAGCACCGGCUAACUUCGUG